rnacentral:rRNA from 1 species
ACACUCAGCUGUACCACCCUAAACAUGUCUGAUCUUGGAAACUAAGCAGGAUCAGGCAUGGGUCGUACUUGGAUGGGCGACCGCCUGAAAGUCUCAGGUGCUGUUUGGG